rnacentral:rRNA from 1 species
AUCUGAAAUCAGAUGAGAAAUGCU